rnacentral:rRNA from 1 species
GGGGGGGGCAAGCGUUUGUUCGGAGUUACUGGGCGUAAAGGGCUCGUAGGCGGCCAACUAAGUCGGACGUGAAAUCCCUCGGCUCAACCGAGGAACUGCGUCCGAUACUGGAUGGCUUGAGUCCGGGAGAGGGAUGCGGAAUUCCAGGUGUAGCGGUGAAAUGCGUAGAUAUCUGGAGGAACACCGGUGGCGAAGGCGGCAUCCUGGACCGGCACUGACGCUGAGGAGCGAAAGCCAGGGGAGCAAACGGGAUUAGAUACCCCGGGUAGUCCUGGCCCUAAACGAUGAAUGCUUGGUGUGGCGGGUAUCGAUCCCCUGCCGUGCCGAAGCUAACGCGAUAAGCAUUCCGCCUGGGGGAGUACGGUCGCAAGGCUG